rnacentral:rRNA from 1 species
AGCAGGCGCGUAAAUUACCCAAUCCUGACACAGGGAGGUAGUGACAAUAAAUAACAAUGCCGGGCCUUUCAGGUCUGGCACUUGGAAUGAGAACAACUCAAACCACUUAUCGAGGAUCAAUUGGAGGGCAAGUCUGGUGCCAGCAGCCGCGGUAAUUCCAGCUCCAAUAGCGUAUAUUAAAGUUGUUGCAGUUAAAAAGCUCGUAGUUGGAUUUGUGGCAGUGCUCGAGUGCCUCUUUUGGACGCUCUGAGUACAGCCAUCCUUGGGAGGAAUUCGUGUGGCAUUAGGUUGUUGCAUGAGGGAUACUCAACAUUUACUGUGAAAAAAUCAGCGCGUUCAAAGCAAGCUUAUGCUGUUGAAUGUAUUAGCAUGGAAUAAUAAGAUAGGACCUUUGUACUAUUUUGUUGGUUUGCGCAUAAAGGUAAUGAUUAAAAGGGACAGUUGGGGGUUUUCGUAUUCCAUUGUCAGAGGUGAAAUUCUUGGAUUUUUGGAAGACGAACUACUGCGAAAGCAUUAACCAAGGAUGUUUUCAUUAAUCAAGAACGAAAGUUAGGGGAUCGAAGAUGAUUAGAUACCAUCGUAGUCUUAACCAUAAACUAUGCCGACAAGGGAUUGGUGGGGUUUCGUAAUGUCUCCAUCAGCACCUUAGGAGAAAUCAUAAGUCUUUGGGUUCCGGGGGGAGUAUGGUCGCAG